rnacentral:rRNA from 1 species
CCACAAAUUCUGAUAUAGGCCCACCAGCCACAAUCAAAACCAACCAGACCCAGUACCACUGAUAAACGAACCAAGUUACCCCGGGGAUAACAGCGCUAUCCCCUUAAAGAGUCCAUAUCGACAAGGGGGUUUACGACCUCGAUGUUGGAUCAGGACACCCAAAUGGUGCAGCCGCUAUUAAAGGUUCGUUUGUUCAACGAUUAACANUCCUACGU